rnacentral:misc_RNA from 1 species
GAUUGCCCUCUGUAAAGACUAGCCUGUUGAGGCAUAAUUCAUUUUCAUGAAAAUGCAUCAUCCCAAAAGUAAUUCAAUGAAAUCUUGAAGCAAUUGUGUAGCAUUGACAUUUGAAACAAGGAUUUGGGAACUGGUGUUCAAUUCUUGAAUAGUAAAGAAUGUAGAAAGAACAUAGUUAUUUUGUGAACAAUAAUAAGUCUCCAAGCAAUGAAAAUUCAAUAAUUUUCUUUGCAGAAGGGCUACAAAU